CUCCAAUGCUUUUCCUUCUGUUUCAGGGAGGAUUCAAACCUUUCACAGUGAACUACAGAAUCAGGCAAAUAAUGCAGAGAUAAAAUCUGAGUUUAGAAAUCCUUUUUUUCUGUUUAUAUUAGGUGUGCUAUAAAAAGCACAUCACCAUGGUAUCCCAGCUCUUUCCAAUUAAAGAAAACUAUUUCUACCAUUUACUUAGCAACUCUGACAAUAGCCUGCAGCAGCAGUAGAACAACUUGACUGCCUGGCAUUUUACAAGAUAAAUUCUUCACUACUGUCUGAUUUUUUUUUUUCUUUUCACUGUUGCUUGCAGAGACUUAAAAAGUUACUGCUUCUUCAACCACUGAGGCUGGUCUUGUUGCACUCACUUGAGUUAUGGAUCACUGAGUACACUUUGUACCUUUACAUGCCAGUUUGAGAAAAAUCAAUUUUAGUCUUGAAGAGAUGAAACUAGUGUUGCAGAAGAUCAGUGCACAUUUCCAGGUGCUGCAGGGCACUACCAUCUUGAUGGGAAUUCAACAAAACAUGACAUAGGAGAAAACAAAACCAAGAGAUCUAUGAAAGACAGAGACAAUCUACCAGUCCCUCCUAGGUUCAUCAAAGCCAAAGACUCUGAAGAUAACAUAUGGUUAUAUGAUAGAUGGUAAAUCUGAAGACUGAAGAAUUUGAUAUGAAUUUCAAAUGUAAGUUGCUAAUUUUUUUCUUAAGAAAUGAAGUGUUCUUCAUUUAAAUUCAGUUUUAAGUGUUCAAUUUAAAUUCAUUUAAAUUCAGUUAAAUGAAUGUUACCACGUAAGCUGGAGAGAGACCUUUUUGCAACACCUUAGUCAAUUGUACAUCAAACUUAACAAAUAUGAUUUGGUAAGAUAGGAGUUUCCUUAGAAACCACAGAACUUUCCACUGAAAUUUAGUGUGUUGGUUGUAGAUGCUGAAUAAUUUAGAAGUCUCAGCAGUGUUGCCAGUGCUAGUAAGAUAUUCCAAUUCCUAAUAGACAAAUAUGUCAUUCAGUACCUUUGCUUUUAUGUUCUCCCCUUCACAGCUUAUCUGACUGAAGGAACAAUCUUACGUUUUAACUAACAGAUAGUGACUGAAACUCAGAACAUAGUGUCAAAACUAUAUGUGAUAGAAUGGCAAUAUAUAUCAUAUUUUAAGUGUACUGUUGGGAGUUUUUUGUGUUCUACAGUGCCAUAAGAUAAACUCCAAAAUUUACUAUAAAUGUAUAAAAGUUCAUACACUUUAUCUUCU
rnacentral:lncRNA from 1 species